rnacentral:rRNA from 1 species
UGGACCCGGGGCUUAGCUAGUUGGGAGGUAAGGUCACCAGGCAACGAUGGUAGCCGACCUGAAGGGGAUGGCCACCUGGGACGAGACCGGCCCAGAUCCUACGGGAGGCAGCAGUAGGGAUCUUCGCAAUGGACGAAAGUUGACGGAGCAACGCCGCGUGAGUGAUGAAGGUUUUCGGAUCGUAAAGCUCUGUUGUUAGGGAAGAACAAGUACCGUUCGAAUAGGGCGGUACCUUGACGGUACCUAACCAGAAAGCCACGGCUAACUACGUGCCAGCAGCCGCGGUAAUACGUAGGUGGCAGCGUUGUCCGGAAUUAUUGGGCGUAAAGGGCUCGCAGGCGGUUUCUUAAGUCUGAUGUGAAAGCCCCCGGCUCAACCGGGGAGGGUCAUUGGAAACUGGGGAACUUGAGUGCAGAAGAGGAGAGUGGAAUUCCACGUGUAGCGGUGAAAUGCGUAGAGAUGUGGAGGAACACCAGUGGCGAAGGCGACUCUCUGGUCUGUAACUGACGCUGAGGAGCGAAAGCGUGGGGAGCGAACAGGAUUAGAUACCCUGGUAGUCCACGCCGUAAACGAUGAGUGCUAAGUGUUAGGGGGUUUCCGCCCCUUAGUGCUGCAGCUAACGCAUUAAGCACUCGCCUGGGAGUACGGUCGCAAGACUGAAACUCAAAGGAAUUGACGGGGGCCCGCACAAGCGGUGGAGCAUGUGGUUUAAUUCGAAGCAACGCGAAGAACCUUACCAGGUCUUGACAUCCUCUGACAAUCCUAGAGAUAGGACGUCCCCUUCGGGGGCAGAGUGACAGGUGGUGCAUGGUUGUCGUCAGCUCGUGUCGUGAGAUGUUGGGUUAAGUCCCGCAACGAGCGCAACCCUUGAUCUUAGUUGCCAGCAUUCAUUUGGGCACUCUAAGGUGACUGCCGGUGACAACCGGAGAAAGGUGGGGAUGACGUCAAAUCAUCAUGCCCCUUAUGACUGGGCUA